UACAGAGGGUGCAAGCGUUAAUCGGAAUUACUGGGCGUAAAGCGUGCGUAGACGGUUGCGUAAGUCAGAUGUGAAAGCCCCGGGCUCAACCUGGGAAUUGCAUUUGAGACUGCGUAGCUAGGGUGCGGAAGAGGGAAGCGGAAUUUCCGGUGUAGCGGUGAAAUGCGUAGAUAUCGUGAGGAAGACCAGUGGCGAAGGCGGGUCUCUGGACAGUUCCUGACGCUGAGGCGCGAAGGCCAGGGGAGCAAACGGG
rnacentral:rRNA from 1 species